rnacentral:rRNA from 1 species
AGCGACGCCGCGUGGGUGACGAAGGCCUUCGGGUUGUAAAGCCCGUGUGGGGGGAGACGAACCGGGUCGUGGCUAAUAUCCACGGUCCUUGACGGUAUCCCUUUAGCAAGCAUCGGCUAACUCUGUGCCAGCAGCCGCGGUAAGACAGAGGAUGCAAACGUUGCUCGGAAUUACUGGGCGUAAAGCGCGCGCAGGUGGUCCGGUAAGUCGGGUGUGAAAUCCCGGGGCUCAACCUCGGAAGUGCACUCGAUACUGCUAGACUUGAGUACUGGAGAGGAGAGCGGAAUUCCCGGUGUAGAGGUGAAAUUCGUAGAUAUCGGGAGGAACACCAGUGGCGAAGGCGGCUCUCUGGACAGAUACUGACACUGAGGCGCGAAAGCGUGGGAAGCAAACAGGAUUAGAUACCCUGGUAGUCCACGCUGUAAACGAUGACGACUGGGUGUUUCGGGUAUUGACCCCCGAGGUGCCGAAGCCAACGCGUUAAGUCGUCCGCCUGGGAAGUACGGCCGCAAGGCUAAAAACUCAAAGGAAUUGACGGGGG